UAGACUGCCAUUAAGAUCUUGCAUGCCACUUUGAAAACCUAAGUGCUAGAGUUUUAGUGUCAAUAACCAAUUUAUUUUUUUUUUUUUCCUGGUAAGAUAUAAUUGCACCACUCUUUGGGACACAGCUCCAGUAUUUCUUACCUCUUCAUUAAUUAGGAAGAAUUCAUAUUUUUCUAACUUGCAAAUGUUGAGAAUCACUCUUUCUGUACACAUUCCUUGGAGGCCAUCAAACUCCACAACACUGAAGGAUGAUUUUUUAAGAAGUCCUAACAAGGAGCAUGCCAGGCCCUAAUUCGUAGUUCUUCAUCUCCUUUUUGGAUGUAACUGAACAACAUAAAAAUGCAUCAGCAAAGCUGUUUUUCACUCCUGGGUGAACUUUAUACCCAUUUGGAGAACUGAAUCAGCUCAGCAAAGAGCCAGAGAUAUGCUACAGUAUGCAGCAGGGAGGCCCUAGAAGAUACCUGAGAGAUGGAAAGAGCACAACUGCCUCCUCCAGUGGAAGAAAGCCAUUGGGUUGGGUCAUCUCGGCUUGUCUAAUUGAAGUCCAUUUAAAAUAAAAGUAAUUUUUGAAGAUGGAUGGGUCAACAGGUGAGAAACUGAAAGAGCUUUGUAUGUAGCCACAGCGAAAAGGUGCAACAUUAAAAUUCCAGCAUUGAAGAGGCACAUCUGAGAUUACUGCAGUGAAGUCCCCAUCUCAAAGUGAUAUUUGAAAACCACUUAAGAAAAGAAUAACUGCUGCUAAUCAUUUAAAAGUACCCAGGCAUUUAAAGACAUUUAAACAGUUGGUCUUACUGUGAAAAGCAAGUUAAAAAUAUUGACAUUAACAGAGAAAUAGCUUAUUCAUCUCCUUCUAAGGUUUUUCAAGUAAUUUGGCAGCUAUAGGUCUCUUUUAUCUGGUUUGAACUAUAGUUCCAGUUUCACCAUUGCCAUGACUGUACAAUUUAGGUCAGAUCCAAAAGCGGUGUUUGGAACAUACUGCUGCAUUGCUCUAACAAUGUAGCAUGUGUAUCAAAUAAGAGGAAAAGAAUAUCUUGCAUAAGGCCACAUCGAGGCAAAAGAGCAAUCAACAGCUACCACCCUCUGGUUCUUUACUGAGAGAAAAGAAUAGCUCACUCAAGUGCCUCUCAAUAAUUCUUUCCAGGGUUUCCAGCAAGGUCAACAAAGCUUCAUGGUCAAUGGCUAGUGAGAGAGUGAAGGAUUAGCAAAAGCAUUUAAUUUUUGUCCAUUGAUGACAGCAGAUCACUGGGCAAUAAGAUUUCCUUUCUUAUUAUCAGGGUCACGUAGAAGAACUGUUCCUGCUGAAGUUGCAGAAAUUAAACUUAUAAAAUAUGCUUUGCAAAAUUUAGGGGAGAAGUUAGAUUUGAUUGUAAUUGUUUAGCAAACCCCAAGAGCUAUAGUUCAUAAAUUAAAAGGUUUUGUGAGCACAAACAUUAAUUGAGUUACAUGUGCUUUCUGAAAUGUAGUCAGUUGGUUCUCGAAAAGAUUAAUGUUCUUGUGAUUCCUUUGUAUGCAUGUCUGAAUUCUCCACUCGUCCCUGUGGGUUCUGUUUAGUGGCAUUUAGGUUCUCUGAUGGAGCAGAUGACUUUUUACAGCUGACAGUGUUGCAACAGGGAUCAGGAGAAAGCUUAUUUGUCUGACCCCCAGUCUGGAAGAGGAACUCAAAAUGUGGAUACGGGUAGAAACUGCUUUUUAAUGUUUUCAUUCUGUUGAUAACAUCAGGCUUAUUUUCUCUGAUGAGAGCGGGCUAAGCCUUGCCAGAAUCUUUCUAAAGCCUGCUGAAGGCACAGAUCUCCCUGCUGGAUUUUGUUUUCUUUCUUUGUUUAACAGACAGAAUAAUAUUUCUGGGGAGGGGGACAGGCAGAGGCAGGGAAAUGUUGCUUAUGGAGGUGGUGGGAGGGAACAUCCACUUGAUCUUUGUUUUCCUUUUCCCAUCCCUCCAUUUAUAACCCAGGUCUUGCUCCAAAGGCAUCACAAGAACUCUCUCCCCACCCUCUCCCCUUGUUAGUGAAAGAAGUUUCUACCUUAAUAAUACUGCUCUUUCCUCUGCCUCAUCACCAGCAGUUAUAGUCACAGCUUUCCAUAUUUUAAUGAUGUUUCUAUAUUAACAAUCUGGGAAUUAUAAAUGUUUUAUGGGUUUCUCUGGCCAGGUCUGUGGACGGAGCAUCAACAGCAACUUUGUUUGGAAAAACCUCAAGAGACAGGCUAAACGCUGUUCUAUUUAAGGCUUGAGGGAAGUCUGACAUAUCUUGAAAACUUGCUUGGUUUUUUUUAGGAAAAAGCACAGUAGCUUUUCCCUUAAACUUCCGCUAUCUUCCUUAUCCUUCCUAUUCAAAAGCUGCCUACAGACAACUAGUU